rnacentral:rRNA from 1 species
GAUGAACGCUGGCGGCGUGCCUAAUACAUGCAAGUCGAGCGAACGGACGAGAAGCUUGCUUCUCUGAUGUUAGCGGCGGACGGGUGAGUAACACGUGGAUAACCUACCUAUAAGACUGGGAUAACUUCGGGAAACCGUAGCUAAUACCGGAUAAUAUUUUGAACCGCAUGGUUCAAAAGUGAAAGACGGUCUUGCUGUCACUUAUAGAUGGAUCCGCGCUGCAUUAGCUAGUUGGUAAGGUAACGGCUUACCAAGGCAACGAUGCAUAGCCGACCUGAGAGGGGGAUCGGCCACACUGGAACUGAGACACGGUCCUGACUCCUACGGGAGGCAGCAGUAGGGAAUCUUCCGCAAUGGGCGAAAGCCUGACGGAGCAACGCCGCGUGAGUGAUGAAGGUCUUCGGAGCGUAAAACUCUGUUAUUAGGGAAGAACAUAUGUGUAAGUAACUGUGCACAUCUGGACGGUACCUAAUCAGAAAGCCACGGCUAACUACGUG